GGGGAUGUAGCUCAGAUGGUAGAGCGCUCGCUUAGCAUGCGAGAGGUACGGGGAUCGAUACCNAAUAUUUUCC
rnacentral:tRNA from 1 species